UGCAACCUUAGAUGCAACAAUCAUAAUGAGCUUGAGGAAUUAUGAUAAUUUAGUGGUCAUAACUUUCAUUCAGAGUUUGCC
rnacentral:sRNA from 1 species